AUUGAACGCUGGCGGCAUGCCUUACACAUGCAAGUCGAACGGUAACAGGGAGCUUGCUCCGCUGACGAGUGGCGAACGGGUGAGUAAUGUAUCGGAACGUACCAUUCAGUGGGGGAUAACGUAGCGAAAGUUACGCUAAUACCGCAUAUUCUGUGCGCAGGAAAGCAGGGGAUCGCAAGACCUUGCGCUGAUUGAGCGGCCGAUAUCAGAUUAGCUAGUUGGUGAGGUAAAAGACUCACCAAAGGCGACGAUCUGUAGCGGGUCUGAGAGGAUGAUCCGCCACACUGGAACUGAGACACGGUCCAGACUCCUACGGGAGGCAGCAGUGGGGAAUUUUGGACAAAUGGGGGGCAACCCUGAUCCAGCCAUGCCGCGUGAGUGAAGAAGGCCU
rnacentral:rRNA from 1 species